GACACACGUACGUACACAGGGGGACACGGAUCACACCACACUUCGCUCUUCCCCAGCAGGCGCCCUGGAACACGCGCGCCCAGCGUGCCCAGCUCCCGAGGGCCCGGCUCACGGUCACACUGCGUGCUCGUGGGCGCUACUCUGGGAUCCCAAAGUCUUGCUCUGCCUCUCUAGAGCCCAAAGCAACGUUAAAACAAAGAGAAAAAUACUGCACGAGGAUCCAGACUGUAUUCAGAGCAGAUGAGGCUCAGAGAGGCAGCCCGUUCCGAGAUCCACUUCCUACACACCAGGCCCUCGUCCUCCACGUACAGAGUGUGCCUUUGUUCAGUCUACAGUGUUGCUGCUGCGUGUCUCUGAAACUAUUUUCCAUAGAUUCGCCUUGUAAUCUUUCUAAAACCAAAACAAGGACAGACUGCAGAAAGGAAACCAUGCCCUGAUGUGCCUAUGAGCUUAUCUUCCGGAUCGAACUCAGACCUUGCCCUUGUGAGACAGGUGCGGUGCCACUGAGCUAAAUCACCUGCAGUAUUUCAUUGUUUAAAUCUAUUAGCCCUGUGUGGUGGUGCACACCUGUAACCCCAGAACUCGAGAGGCUGAGGCAGGAGGGUCACCUCCAGUUUGAGGCCAGCCUGGGCUACAUAAUGAGUUCAAGGACAGCCGAGACAACAUACCAAGACCCUAUCCCAAUAGUAAAUAAAUAAUAAAUAAGUAAAAUCCAUGAUUGCUGCUGUCAGGAUGGAUGAAAGUUUAAAUGAAAUGAUGUAUCUUAGCACGCUCUCCUCGGGGCAUAGCCUCCUCUUUGUAGUGUGUCCUUGAUUUGGCUUCAGGAAAAGAUCACAAGGGGAAUGGAUGGGAAAUAUCUGAGAAGCAGCAGCUAAGAUAGCGCCAGGAGCAAACCUGGCAACUGGUACAGCAG
rnacentral:lncRNA from 1 species